AAAUUGAAGAGUUUGAUCAUGGCUCAGAUUGAACGCUGGCGGCAGGCCUAACACAUGCAAGUCGAACGGUAACAGGAAGCAGCUUGCUGCUUCGCUGACGAGUGGCGGACGGGUGAGUAAUGUCUGGGAAACUGCCUGAUGGAGGGGGAUAACUACUGGAAACGGUGGCUAAUACCGCAUAACGUCGCAAGACCAAAGAGGGGGACCUUUGGGCCUCUUGCCAUCAGAUGUGCCCAGAUGGGAUUAGCUUGUUGGUGAGGUAACGGCUCACCAAGGCGACGAUCCCUAGCUGGUCUGAGAGGAUGACCAGCCACACUGGAACUGAGACACGGUCCAGACUCCUACGGGAGGCAGCAGUGGGGAAUAUUGCACAAUGGGCGCAAGCCUGAUGCAGCCAUGC
rnacentral:rRNA from 3 species